AUACGGAGGGUGCGAGCGUUAAUCGGAAUUACUGGGCGUAAAGCGUACGUAGGCGGUUUGCUAAGUCAGAUGUGAAAGCCCCGGGCUUAACCUGGGAACUGCAUUUGAUACUGGCAGACUAGAGUAUGAUAGAGGGGGGUAGAAUUCCUGGUGUAGCGGUGAAAUGCGUAGAUAUCAGGAGGAAUACCAGUGGCGAAGGCGGCCCCCUGGAUCAAUACUGACGCUGAGGUACGAAAGCGUGGGGAGCGAACAGGAUUAGAUACCCCUGUAGUCC
rnacentral:rRNA from 1 species